GGAAUAGCCUCGGGAAACUGGGAGUAAUACCGUAUGUGCCCUUCGGGGGAAAGAUUUAUCGCCAAAGGAUUGGCCCGCGUUGGAUUAGGUAGUUGGUGGGGUAAUGGCCUACCAAGCCGACGAUCCAUAGCUGGUUUGAGAGGAUGAUCAGCCCACUGGGCUGAGACACGCCCAACUCCUACGGGAGGAGCAGUGGGAAUCUUAACAUGGCGCAGCCUUAAUUACCAUGCGCGGAUCUAUGAGGCCU
rnacentral:rRNA from 1 species